UUUUUCCUCAAACUCACUAUUAAUUAUAUAUUUUUCAAAAAUAAUAGUUUUACACAUAAAUUUUAAAAAAAAAAUCUCUAUUUUUAACCACAUAUUCUCAGAAAAAUACUUUUUACAAAACAUAUUCUCAAAACAGGGACUAUAUUUUCAAAUAAGUAGAAUUAGUAUAGUGAAAUACGGGAUUAGCUACGCCAGCUAAAAAUAAAACUUUAACUUCUUGCUUACGAAAAGACCCAAAAAUCAUGUUUCUUACGUUAUCUAAUAGUAAUUGUGUUUGAAUGGAAAUUUUGUGGUGUUGGUUUUCAAUGAAGGAAUUUUGCGAUAUGUCGUUUUAAAGGCACUCUUCAAUAGACUAACCUUUAAAGCUCUUUGUUAGAUG
rnacentral:lncRNA from 1 species